CUCUUGCCCGGCGCGCCGCCGCCGCCCCCGGUCCGGUCGCGCUGGCGUCGGUUCUUGAACCAGUUGCUGACCUGCGUGAGCGAGAGGCCGGUGAGCGUGGCCAGGCGGCGCUUCUCGUCCGGCGUGGGGUAGCGGUUGCCGCGGUAGCAGGCCUUGAGCGCGGCGCGGGAGCGCUCCUUGAAGCAGUAGACGGUCUCCUCGCCGUCCCAGAUGGUCUUGGGCAGCGGGAAUUUCUUGCGCAGACGGUACUUGUCCACCGCGCCCAGCGCGCGGCCGCGGGCCCGCUCGGCCUCGUGGUAGCGCGCGCGCAGGUAGAGGUCCUGCAGGAAGGCGUGGUGGGCGGCGGGGAAGGGGCGGCUCUCGAGCAGCCGGUAGAGCUCAGCGUACUCGCCCCGCUGGAAGGCCACAAGGGCCCGAGCGCGCAGCACCGGAUCGCUGCCACGUAGGCGCUCCGCCGGGGGCAGUGCGCCCAGGAAGCGGCUCAAGCGGCCGGCGUGGCCCGCCUGUAGCAGCGCCUCGCACACGCACGCCACCUGCUCCGGCGAGAAGCGGAGGCCUGUGGGCGGCUCGGCAGCGGCCUCGCGGGGAGACCCGGGGACGCCCGGGGAUCCAGGGUCCUCCGCUUUCACCGUCGCUUCGCCCGCCCCGGCCCCGGCCGCCGCCGCCGCCUCACCCUCGGCCGCCUGCAAAGUCUGCAGGAGCUGGCGCGCUUCCUCCUCCUCCUCUUCGGCCGCCGCCGCCGCCGCCACCGCCUCCCCCCCAGCCGCCGGCCCCGCGCUCGGCUCCGAAGGCAAGGGCCUCAGUUUCCCCAUCGGGACAACGGAGAAGGUAACGGGCCGUCCGGGAGGGCUAAGGGCGCGAAGCCACCUCCGCCCUGAGACUGAGCUUCUGCAUGCCUCCGUCUCCAGGGUCCUCAGAAGGCCCCCCUUACUCCCCAUCUCGGCCAACGCUCCGCCCCUCGGAAUUCCCGGCUCCGCAGGGGGGCGGGUCUGGCUGGGAGAAGGGGCGGGGAAAACGGGCUAGAAAGUUUGCAGCAACUUUUCUUGAGCUUAGGUCCCUGGAACGGAUGCGCGUGGCCCGCGCAGGCGCAGUGGCAGGAGGAUGGCCGCACGCGCCGCCCGCCCAGCCCCCUUCUUCGCGGCGGUCUAGUGGCACAGCUGGGCCACAGCUGGACAAGGGGCGGUGCCGUCGAGUGGCCCGCUCGUCUUCUUCUAUUGGCCGGAGGUCGAAGCCACACCCUCAUCCCUACCCCCACCCCUGAUUCGUCCGCUUCGUCUCCCGCUAGCUUCCUGCCAGGCCAUUGGCCGCCUCCACUCGCCUGGCCGGAUUGGCCCACUGAGUAGCCUCCUGCCCUCCUUGCAAACAGAGCCGGCACGAAGUUCGAGCAUUCUGGGCAGACGAAAGGGCCUUUUAUUUGCGAGGAUCGGGGGUGGGGUCCUAGGUGGGGAAAGACAAUAAAUACCGAGGAAUGUCGGG